UUGAACGCUGGCGGCAGGCCUAACCCAUGCAAGUCGAGCGGAUGAAGGGAGCUUGCUCCUGGAUUCAGCGGCGGACGGGUGAGUAAUGCCUAGGAAUCUGCCUGGUAGUGGGGGAUAACGUCCGGAAACGGGCGCUAAUACCGCAUACGUCCUGAGGGAGAAAGUGGGGGAUCUUCGGACCUCACGCUAUCAGAUGAGCCUAGGUCGGAUUAGCUAGUUGGUGGGGUAAGGGCCUACCAAGGCGACGAUCCGUAACUGGUCUGAGAGGAUGAUCAGUCACACUGGAACUGAGACACGGUCCAGACUCCUACGGGAGGCAGCAGUGGGGAAUAUUGGACAAUGGGCGAAAGCCUGAUCCAGCCAUGCCGCGUGUGUGAAGAAGGUCUUCGGAUUGUAAAGCACUUUAAGUUGGGAGGAAGGGCAGUAAGUUAAUACCUUGCUGUUUUGACGUUACCAACAGAAUAAGCACCGGCUAACUUCGUG
rnacentral:rRNA from 1 species